AGAGUUUGAUCCUGGCUCAGGAUGAACGCUAGCGGCAGGCUUAACACAUGCAAGUCGAGGGGUAACAUUGUGCUUGCACAGAUGACGACCGGCGCACGGGUGCGUAACGCGUAUAGAACCUACCUUUUACAGAGGAAUAGCCUUUAGAAAUGAAGAUUAAUGCCUCAUAGUAUUGUAGACUGGCAUCAGUUUAUAAUUAAAGAUUUAUCGGUAAAAGAUGGCUAUGCGUCCUAUUAGUUAGUUGGUAAGGUAACGGCUUACCAAGACAGCGAUAGGUAGGGGUCCUGAGAGGGAGAUCCCCCACACUGGUACUGAGACACGGACCAGACUCCUACGGGAGGCAGCAGUGAGGAAUAUUGGACAAUGGAGGAGACUCUGAUCCAGCCAUGCCGCGUGUAGGAAGAAUGCCCUAUGGGUUGUAAACUACUUUUAUACAGGAAGAAACACUGGUAUGUAUACCAGCUUGACGGUACUGUAAGAAUAAGGACCGGCUAACUCCGUGCCAGCAGCCGCGGUAAUACGGAGGGUCCGAGCGUUAUCCGGAAUCAUUGGGUUUAAAGGGUCCGCAGGCGGUCGAUUAAGUCAGAGGUGAAAUCCCAUAGCUCAACUAUGGAACUGCCUUUGAUACUGGUUGACUUGAGUCAUAUGGAAGUAGAUAGAAUGUGUAGUGUAGCGGUGAAAUGCAUAGAUAUUACACAGAAUACCGAUUGCGAAGGCAGUCUACUACGUAUGUACUGACGCUGAAGGACGAAAGCGUGGGGAGCGAACAGGAUUA
rnacentral:rRNA from 1 species